rnacentral:rRNA from 1 species
AUACGUAGGGUGCAAGCGUUAAUCGGAAUUACUGGGCGUAAAGCGUGCGCAGGCGGUUUUGUAAGACAGUGGUGAAAUCCCCGGGCUCAACCUGGGAACUGCCCUUGUUACUGCAAGGCUGGAGGGGGGCAGAGGGGGAUGGAAUUCCGCGCGUAGCGGUGCAGUGCGUAGAUAUGCGGAGGAACACCGAUGGCGAAGGCAAUCCCCUGGGCCUGCACUGACGCUCAUGCACGAAAGCGUGGGGAGCAAACAGGAUUAGAUACCCUGGUAGUCCACGCCCUAAACGAUGUCAACUGGUUGUUGGGGAUUUAUUUUCUCAGUAACGAAGCUAACGCGUGAAGUUGACCGCCUGGGGAGUACGGCCGCAAGGUUAAAACUCAAAUGAAUUGGCGGGG